AUUGAACGCUGGCGGCAGGCCUAACACAUGCAAGUCGAGCGGUAACAGGACUAGCUUGCUAGUUGCUGACAAGCGGCGGACGGGUGCGUAACACGUAGGAAUCUACCCAGUAGCGGGGGAUAGCCCGGAGAAAUCCGGAUUAAUACCGCAUACGCCCUACGGGGGAAAGCAGGGGAUCUUCGGACCUUGCACUAUUGGAUGAGCCUGCGUCGGAUUAGCUUGUUGGUGAGGUAAAGGCUCACCAAGGCGACGAUCCGUAGCUGGUCUGAGAGGAUGAUCAGCCACACUGGGACUGAGACACGGCCCAGACUCCUACGGGAGGCAGCAGUGGGGAAUAUUGCACAAUGGGCGAAAGCCUGAUGCAGCCAUGCCGCGUGUGUGAAGAAGGCUCUAGGGUUGUAAAGCACUUUCAGCGAGGAGGAAAGGUUGAUGAUUAAUACUCAUUAGCUGUGACGUUACUCGCAGAAGAAGCACCGGCUAACUCCGUGCCAGCAGCCGUGGUAAUACGGAGGGUGCAAGCGUUAAUCGGAAUUACUGGGCGUAAAGCGUGCGUAGGCGGCUUGCUAAGUUGGAUGUGAAAGCCCCGGGCUCAACCUGGGA
rnacentral:rRNA from 1 species